CUAGCCCUCUGCUUGAGAAGCGAUGCCUGCUGACCUCCGUCUGGCGUUCUGACAAGAGGGUGGGCGAGCACCUAUGCAGGAAGACAGAAUCAGGACUCCCGGAAGAGAGGAAGAGGAGAGCAUUUUACAAUUUAUCAAAAGUGAUUUUACCCCACCGGCUUUCUUUGCAGAUGAGGAACCUGACACGUCAGAGCGGGUCAGUGGCUCGGCCAAGUUCAUCCACUGAUUUACAAGAGAGCCAGGGCUAAAGCCUGCCUUGGGUCUGUUCGGAGGAUCGCAACACAGCAGACCGAGGCGGCUCGCGUCUGAGCGUGGAUGGACCAGCCACUCUGGAGCGGCCUUAUCCAGUGUUUAAUUCACAGU